rnacentral:lncRNA from 1 species
UCCUAGUUUACAUUUAGAUGAGCCCCAGCUCUCAGAGUUCCCUGGGAAAUGUCACCUCUUGGCCACAGAAGAUUCCCCAAAGCACAAAAGCUGAGAUGAUGGUCCUGGUUUUCCAUAAGAUACAGCUGAUACCUGGGUCCUGAACAGGACACAAGUCUGUAAGCCACAUUUGAACAUAGGGGAAGGCUUUGCAGACCCUUUCCAGUUUUCAUCCUGGGUGUUUCUGAACAGGAUUAUAUCUCAUUGAAAUAUUUGCACCUCUACCUACAGACAAGGAAAAGGCUUGGAGCACCUCCAUUCAUUGUGCCAACAGGACCUGAAUGACCACAUCCCAACUGAUGGAAGAGAUGACUCAGAGAUUACAUUAUUCAGGGUUUAUAUUAUUUUUCUACAAAUGAAGCUUAAAGAUGUAGAGCAGAAUUUUCUAACCUGUGGGCCACCAUUCUCUAGGAAGACCAAGGAGCCAUCGCAAGAGAAUUUUAAUUGCACACGUACGUAUACAUUUUCCUCACAAACACAUAACAAAAGUCAACUGGGA